CUCCAGUGUGUGGUCGGUCAUGCUGUUGCCAGGAGGGAGGUACGAGCAGAGAUUGAAGUUCCUUAAAGCAAUGUAUUGUAGAACAUGGAAAGCCGGGAACUGAAGCUUGUGCUCCUUAGAUGCAACGUGACUCAACGAUGUAUCUUCUGAACUGAGGUACUUUUAAGAGUGAAUGGGUGGUUCAACAGACAGGAUACUGGGAACAAAAUAAUAAAGUAGGACUCUCAGAAGCAAAGCAGACAUGAUCAACUCUGUUCUGUAAGCAUAAGAAGCUUGGACAUAAUUUUGGAAGUUUACCACGAUAAAAAGUUUAGACUUAAUUUUGAAAGCAGUGUUUUCUGUAAUGCAUACUUGAAAACUGUUUUAAGUGUUUCUAUUGCUGUGAUAAAGCACUAUUACCAAAAGCAGGUUGGCAAAGAAAGGGUUUAAUUUAUCUCAUAACUUUUACUCUAUAAUCCAGGGAGGUCAGGGCAGGGAUUCAAGGCAGGAACUUGGAGGCAGAAACUGAAGCAGAGACCAUGGAGUGAUGCUGUGUCCUGGCUUUCUCCUCAUGGCUUUCUCAUCCUGCAUCUUAAUACAAUCUAGUAGCACCAGUCCGUGUGGGGCAGUACACACAGUGAGCUCUUCCUUCCCCAGGCCAAUCACUGACCAAGGAAAUGCGCCCCCAGGCUUGCCCUCAAUCCAGUCUGAUGGGGGCACUUUCUCAACUGAUGUUUCUUUUGCCCAAACUACUGUAGCUUUAUCUAAAAAUGACAUAAAGCUAGCCAGCGUAAAUGUUUCUCAAAUAUUAAAUGCAAAAGUGUUGAUAAUGGAAUGUUUUCAGAAACGUUGGAUCAAACAAAGCCACACCUGCUUCUUUACUGAGCCACUUUUCAUGGUCUCUGAUUUAUGAAUAUGCAAUGUGCCCUUUCAUCUUCAAAAUGUCAUGUGUUGCUCAAGCAUUUCUCUGUAGACCAAUUCCCAGCUUCCUUCACCUAAAGUUCCACCCUCUCACUGCUGAGCAUUUCCAUCUUGAAGUAGCUUACUUUGGGGUUUAGGAAAUCGACGAUCAUGGAGGGCUGGUUUCAGGGUCAGGUUUCCAGCAUGUGAGUAUGUGCUGUGGUGACAAGAAAAUGGAACAGAACUGAAUUGGUCACCUUCAUUGCUACCGAAGUAGACAGGGAACAGACAAUGAGGGACAAAAAGAAAAAGAAUUGUGGAAACUGUUUGAAAACUAAUGAUAAAAAAAAUGGGUGGUUUGCUGUGUCUCCUAAGAUUUCUGUGUUAUAGAUGGGAGUUCCCAGUUCAGACAAGUCAUGGCUAAUGUCAACUAUCAACUUAUCGAAAUUUAGAAUCACCUUGUAAUAGGCCUUUGAGCAUGCCUGUGGGAGAUUGUCUUGGUUUGAUUAACUGAGGUGGGAAGACCUGUCCACUGUGGGUAACACCAUUCCCUAAGCAGAAAUCCUGGACUAGAGAGGAGAAAGUGAGGAGGGCACAGACAUUUGUCAGUCCCUACCACUUGACUGUAAACUAAUGGUUGUCUUGUGUUCUUGAUGGUGCUAUUUCCUUGUCAUGAUAGUUUGUAACUCAAAAGUGUGGGUCAAAACAAAUUGCUUUUGCCAGAGUAUUCAUAGAGCCAAGGAAAAGUAAUUAAGACAAUAUGCUAAUCUUGCUUGAAAGAGACCUUAGGAGUUACCUGUGAUUAGGAAAGAUCAAAAGGGCAUUAGCAGCUUUGUAUGAAGAUUGCUGUCUUGACGAGCGCUUCUUUAAUCCUCAAAAUGUCAUAUGUUUUAUAUUAAGUAUAAAAAUAGUCAUAGUGAAAUACAUUCAGAAACGUUGGAUCAAAUAAAGGCAGGCUCAUUUCUUUACUGAGCCAUUAAAUAGAUGCUAAGUAAUAAAAUGUAGUACCACAAUUUUCAGGAAUUCCUUUGGGAUCCAUUUGCUCUCUGAGCCUCUAAGCUUAGCAGAGUAUUAUACUUAAUUUUUCUCUUUGAAGUAAAAUGACUAGGAAAGAAUCCAAUUAUUAUGGUUUAAAAAAAUGGCAACUUGGGGCAAGCUCAAAAUUUGGAAUUCCCAGCUUUUGUCCCUGUAUAGCCAGUGACUAGUAGGGCAACUCAGAGGUCUUUGAGUCUCAGUGUCCUCUCUAUGGACCUGUAUUGUAUCCUUCCUUCUACCCAGUCCAGGAUUCUAGCAAAAGUAAUAGGGAAGGGCGGAUGGAAAGCAUGUUAGAUAUCAGUUCCAUUUCACAAAUCCUCUCUUUGGCUCUCCAUACCCAGUUGUUGUACAAGUCUUCUUGAAUAUUUGUCACCUUAACCUCACCUCUUCUCUGUCUUAUUUACUUUAGUGCAGCCCUUCAACAUCUCCAGUCUUGAUGAAGUUCUUUAGCGAGGUCCGCUACUGUUGCAUGGUGGGCGUGGUAUUGUUACAUGGUGGGCGUGGUAUUGUUACAUUAUGGGCGUGGUAUUGUUACAUUAUGGGCGUGGUAUUGUUACAUUUUUGGCAUGCUACUGUUACAUUUUAAGCAUACUAUUGUUACAUUAUAAGCAUACUAUUGUUACAUGAUUGCCUUUCUUCUCUGUAGUAUUUCCCUUUAAUUUUCCUUACUUCUCCCAGACUUUCCUUUGUGGCAGGAAGUGAACAGCACUUCUUACCUUUCAUCAAAAUCUUGUAGUAGCUCAACCCCCACCACUCACUUAACGUGAGACAGGAGCAAUUUGCUUUAAGGAUCUCGUUUGCAUUCCUAGCAUCUUGACUUUUUAAAAAAUAUGUAUUUAUUAUAUAUAAGUACACUGUAUCUGUCUUCAGACACUCCAGAACAUCAGAUCUCAUUAUAGAUGGUCUUCAGCCACCAUGUGGUUGCUGGGAUUUGAACUCGGGUCCUCUGGAAGUCAAUGCUCUUAACCACUGAGCCAUCUCUCCAGCCCUUGUCUUUUGAGUCCAUGCACGAUGCUUCAUCCGAAUAAAGUAAACAUUUACACGUAUUAUACACACUAAAGUCAACAUGCCCACUCCUUCCUUGGCAGAAAGGUCCCUUUCCAUGUUGUCUUCCAAUAAAACUUUAUAUAACUUUCCAAAAUUUUUGUUCCUGUUUUCACUUCAAAAUUUAUUGCUGGCACUACAGUAAGGCACUCAUCUUUUGCGUUAGCGCCGUGCUCUGUAUAAAUCUCAUCACAGUGUGUGCUCUCCCGGAAAGAGCACCACUGCCAGCUAGGAAACCACCGGACUCUACUCAACCAUGAAGUCUGUACUACAAGGCCUAAUAGUCGCUGCAUUACAGACUCUUAGCAGUUAGCAGCUGUCUGGAUUCGGUGGCACGAAGGACUUCAGAGUUUUGGGCAGGACACUCAAGCCUUUGCUAUUCUUUUUUUUUUUUUUUCUUUUUUUUCUUUUUUUUCGGAGCUGGGGACAGAACCCAGGGCCUUGCGCUUGCUAGGCAAGCGCUCUACCACUGAGCUAAAUCCCCAACCCAGCCUUUGCUAUUCUUAAUUAUGUAUGGGGCCUGGAAGUGUUUUGUGUUUCAGGUUCCUGAAUCUGUAUUAUGAGGAAACAACUAGACUUUCUAAAAAGACUCUGUAGCUUUAACAGCUAACAUGACUUUUUAUUGCAGAGGUUUUUGCCUUGUGAUUUUUAAAAAUAUAACAAGUUUGACAAAAGGAUUGAUUUCAAAGAAAAACCUGAAUUUCCUCUGUAUCUUAGGAAACAUAUAAUGUCACUAUGAUGGGCUAAUAUUUCUAUAAGUUCACAGUGGAGACGACAGGUAGAACUCAGGGGUGGAUCAACUACCUGAAAUGUGAGGCCUUGGGUUUGAUCCCUAGUACCUCCAAACAGAACCACAAACAACCUGGGACAGGCCUGUACUCUGAACGAUGAGGAAAGAGGGUUGCAAGUUCAAGGCCUACCUGGGCUACACAGUGAGUUCAAGGUUAGUCUGGGCAACCUAUAGAGACUUUGUUUCAAAACCAAAAACCUCUGGUGAUACAGGACACAGGGAAGGCAUGGGCUUCUCAUGGUCAAUGACCUUGGUUCAGUUUCCAGUGCCGGAAAAAAGCAGCAAAACCCUACAGUUCACAAUGGCUCUAGCUGUAUCACAUCACACUUUAAAUGGACGCACAUCCUUUGACCAGUGUGCUUAGUCCACUGUGGAUCCUACUUGGAAGAUGCGGUGUUUGAGUCAGACUUAAAUCACCGAUGUAUGCUUGCAUGUGUAAAACCAACCAACGUACAGUUUGCUCUGCGG
ensembl:lncRNA